rnacentral:rRNA from 1 species
GACGAACGCUGGCGGCGUGCCUAAUACAUGCAAGUAGAACGCUGAAGGAGGAGCUUGCUUCUCUGGAUGAGUUGCGAACGGGUGAGUAACGCGUAGGUAACCUGCCUGGUAGCGGGGGAUAACUAUUGGAAACGAUAGCUAAUACCGCAUAAGAGUAGAUGUUGCAUGACAUUUGCUUAAAAGGUGCAAUUGCAUCACUACCAGAUGGACCUGCGUUGUAUUAGCUAGUUGGUGGGGUAACGGCUCACCAAGGCGACGAUACAUAGCCGACCUGAGAGGGUGAUCGGCCACACUGGGACUGAGACACGGCCCAGACUCCUACGGGAGGCAGCAGUAGGGAAGCUUCGGCAAUGGGCGGAAGUCUGACCGAGCAACGCCGCGGGAGUGAAGAAGGGUGUCGGAUCGUAAAGCUCUGUUGUAAGAGAAGAACGAGUGUGAGAGUGGAAAGUUCACACUGUGACGGUAUCUUAUCAGAAAGGGACGGCUAACUACGUG